rnacentral:lncRNA from 1 species
CACAAUCAUCAACAGGCUGAAAUUGAUUUUGAGACACAUUUUCUAACAAUGAAUACUUUCGUUUAUAAGAGAUAGCCACUCACCUUACCCUAGGAGGCACCUUUUCUAGGAACAAAAUCAUGCUGCCCAACCACCAAAAGUGGGGCCCAAGCAAACAAUACCUCUUGUAGGCCAAUGGGAGACUUGGCUAUUCCCUCUAUGAGGAUGAGGCAGACGCUCCAAAAUCACAUCGAUUGGAUGAGCCCCCGCAUCCAUCGAUGCUUUCGUUGAGAGUCAGAUGGAAAAAACCUCGCAACACCGA